CCAGACUCCUACGGGAGGCAGCAGUGAGGAAUAUUGGUCAAUGGCCGCAGGGCUGAACCAGCCAAGUCGCGUGAGGGAUGACGGUCCUAUGGAUUGUAAACCUCUUUUGUCGGGGAGCAAAAGACGCCACGUGUGGCGUUCCGAGAGUACCCGAAGAAAAAGCAUCGGCUAACUCCGUGCCAGCAGCCGCGGUAAUACGGAGGAUGCGAGCGUUAUCCGGAUUUAUUGGGUUUAAAGGGUGCGCAGGCGGAAGAUCAAGUCAGCGGUAAAAUUGAGGGGCUCAACCUCUUCGAGCCGUUGAAACUGGUUUUCUUGAGUGAGCGAGAAGUAUGCGGAAUGCGUGGUGUAGCGGUGAAAUGCAUAGAUAUCACGCAGAACCCCGAUUGCGAAGGCAGCAUACCGGUGCACAACUGACGCUCAGGCACGAAAGCGUGGGUAUCGAACAGGAUUAGAUACCCUCGUA
rnacentral:rRNA from 1 species